GGGCUCACUUCAGCAGCACAUAUACUAAAAUUGGAACGAUACAGAGAAGAUUAGCAUGGCUCCUGCACAAUUAUAGGUAAUAUGUGUAUAUUGAGUACACACUAAUUUCA